CUUGACCUCGGAUCAGGUAGGGAUACCCGCUGAACUUAAGCAUAUCA
rnacentral:rRNA from 7 species